GAUGAACGCUGGCGGCGUGCCUAAUACAUGCAAGUCGAGCGAACGGACGAGAAGCUUGCUUCUCUGAUGUUAGCGGCGGACGGGUGAGUAACACGUGGAUAACCUACCUAUAAGACUGGGAUAACCUCGGGAAACCGGAGCUAAUACCGGAUGAUAUUUUGAACCGCAUGGUUCAAAAGUGAAAGACGGUCUUGCUGUCACUUAUAGAUGGAUCCGCGCUGCAUUAGCUAGUUGGUAAGGUAACGGCUUACCAAGGCAACGGUGCAUAGCCGACCUGAGAGGGUGAUCGGCCACACUGGAACUGAGACACGGUCCAGACUCCUACGGGAGGCAGCAGUAGGGAAUCUUCCGCAAAGGGCGAAAGCCUGACGGAGCAACGCCGCGUGAGUGAUGAAGGUCUUCGGAUCGUAAAACUCUGUUAUUAGGGAAGAACAUAUGUGUAAGUAACUGUGCACAUCUUGACGGUACCUAAUCAGAAAGCCACGGCUAACUACGUG
rnacentral:rRNA from 1 species